GACGAACGCUGGCGGCGUGGAUUAGGCAUGCAAGUCGAACGGUAUCAUCCUUUCGGGGGUGAGAGAGUGGCGAACUGGUGAGUAACACGUAGGUUAUCUACCCUCAAGACGGGGACAACCCAGGGAAACUUGGGCUAAUACCGGAUGUGAGCAACUUUUAGUUGUUUGAAAGGUGGCGUAAGCUGUCGCUUGGGGAUGAGCCUGCGUCCUAUUAGUUAGUUGGUGAGGUAACGGCUCACCUAGGCAAUGAUAGGUAGGCGGCCUUAACGGGUGGUCGCCCACACUGGGAUUGAGAUACGGCCCAGACUCCUACGGGAGGCAGCAGUCGAGAAUAGUCUACAAUGGUCGGAAGACUGAUAGUGCGACGCCGCGUGAACGAUGAAUCCCUUCGGGGUGUAAAGUUCUUUUAUAUGUGAGCAGUGCUUCUUAUAUUAACAGUAUGGGGAGAGAGAUAUUAGCAUAUAGAAUAAGCAACGGGACUAACGUCCGUGCCAGCAGCCGACGGUAAAAUACCG
rnacentral:rRNA from 1 species